GACGAACGCUGGCGGCGUGCUUAACACAUGCAAGUCGAACGGUGAAGCGGAGCUUGCUCCGCGGAUCAGUGGCGAACGGGUGAGUAACACGUGAGCAACCUACCCUUGACUCUGGGAUAACAGCUGGAAACAGCUGCUAAUACCGGAUACGACCCCGGCAGGCAUUUGCUGGGGUGGAAAGCUCCGACGGUCAGGGAUGGGCUCGCGGCCUAUCAGCUUGUUGGUGAGGUAACGGCUCACCAAGGCGACGACGGGUAGCCGGCCUGAGAGGGCGACCGGUCACACUGGGACUGAGAUACGGCCCAGACUCCUACGGGAGGCAGCAGUGGGGAAUAUUGCACAAUGGGCGAAAGCCUGAUGCAGCAACGCCGCGUGCGGGAUGACGGCCUUCGGGUUGUAAACCGCUUUCAGCAGGGACGAAGCUAACGUGACGGUACCUGCAGAAGAAGCACCGGCUAACUACGUGCCAGCCGCCGCGGUAAGAC
rnacentral:rRNA from 1 species